UACGAAGGGGACAAGCGUUGUCCGGAUUUAUUGGGCGUAAAGAGCGUGUAGGCGGCCAGGUAGGUCUGCUGUGAAAACUCGAGGCUUAACCUCGAGAUGUCGGCGGAAACCAUCUGGCUAGAGUCCGGAAGAGGAGAGUGGAAUUCCUGGUGUAGCGGUGAAAUGCGCAGAUAUCAGGAAGAACACCUAUGGCGAAGGCAGCUCUCUGGGACGGUACUGACGCUGAGACGCGAAAGCGUGGGGAGCGAACAGG
rnacentral:rRNA from 1 species